rnacentral:rRNA from 1 species
CCUACGGGGGGCAGCAGUGAGGAAUAUUGGUCAAUGGCCGGAAGGCUGAACCAGCCAAGCCGCGUGAGGGAGGAAGGCGCAGAGCGUCGCAGACCUCUUUUGCCGGGGGACAAAAGGCCGGACUCGUCCGGUCCUGAGGGUACCCGGAGAAAAAGCAUCGGCUAACUCCGUGCCAGCAGCCGCGGUAAUACGGAGGAUGCGAGCGUUAUCCGGAUUCAUUGGGUGUAAAGGGAGCGUAGACGGCACUGCAAGUCCGGAGUGAAAGCCCAAGGCUUAACCAUGGGACUGCUCUGGAAACUGUGGAGCUUGAGUGCGGGAGGGGCAGGCGGAAUUCCUAGUGUAGCGGUGAAAUGCGUAGAUAUUAGGAGGAACACCGGCGGCGAAGGCGGCCUGCUGGACCGUAACUGACGUUGAGGCUCGAAAGCGUGGGGAGCAAACAGGAUUAGAUACCCUUGUAGUC